rnacentral:rRNA from 1 species
AUUGAACGCUGGCGGCAGGCCUAACACAUGCAAGUCGGACGGUAGCACAGAGGAGCUUGCUCCUCGGGUGACGAGUGGCGGACGGGUGAGUAAUGUCUGGGGAUCUGCCCGAUAGAGGGGGAUAACCACGGGAAACGGUGGCUAAUACCGCAUAACGUCGCAAGACCAAAGAGGGGGACCUUCGGGCCUCUCACUAUCGGAUGAACCCAGAUGGGAUUAGCUAGUAGGCGGGGUAAUGGCCCACCUAGGCGACGAUCCCUAGCUGGUCUGAGAGGAUGACCAGCCACACUGGAACUGAGACACGGUCCAGACUCCUACGGGAGGCAGCAGUGGGGAAUAUUGCACAAUGGGCGCAAGCCUGAUGCAGCCAUGCCGCGUGUAUGAAGAAGGCCUUCGGGUUGUAAAGUACUUUCAGCGGGGAGGAAGGCGAUGUGGUUAAUAACCGCGUCGAUUGACGUUACCCGCAGAAGAAGCACCGGCUAACUCCGUGCCAGCAGCCGCCGUAA